rnacentral:tRNA from 2 species
AAUGAAGUGCCUGAAAAAAAGGAAUAUUUUGAUAGAAUAUAUCAUGUAAUUAUUUACCUUCAUUA